rnacentral:rRNA from 1 species
AUUGAACGCUGGCGGCAGGCCUAACACAUGCAAGUCGAAUGGUAACAGGAAACAGCUUGCUGUUUCGCUGACGAGUGGCGGACGGGUGAGUAAUGUCUGGGAAACUGCCUGAUGGAGGGGGAUAACUACUGGAAACGGUAGCUAAUACCGCAUAACGUCGCAAGACCAAAGAGGGGGACCUUCGGGCCUCUUGCCAUCAGAUGUGCCCAGAUGGGAUUAGCUAGUAGGUGGGUAACGGCUCACCUAGGCGACGAUCCCUAGCUGGUCUGAGAGGAUGACCAGCCACACUGGAACUGAGACACGGUCCAGACUCCUACGGGAGGCAGCAGUGGGGAAUAUUGCACAAUGGGCGCAAGCCUGAUGCAGCCAUGCCGCGUGUAUGAAGAAGGCC